CAUGCUCUUCGGCAGAUUUGGGAUCCGGCGCUGCUCUGGAUUGGUGAGGUUAGGCAUGUUUUAGAAGACUGCAAGAUAAUGAGCUUAGUCUCCAUGGAAGAAGCAUAGAUUUGCUGCUCACACUUUGCAUUGCAUUCGCACCAGCGCUUUUGCCAGAUACAAAGGAAGCCUCCCAAGUAGGCCAACAGCCCAAGGCAAAAGGCAGGCAGGCAGGCAGGCUACAAGGAAAUCCAAAGGCAGAACUCUCGGCUACUGUGAGUAGAGGCAAAACACAAAGAUAUUUGCAUGGCGUCGGUUUGUUUGCAUGUCUUGAGUCAGGAUAGUUUAUGCAAAUAUUAUCUUCUGAAUUUCUAAGCACCUGUUGGGGGAGGAAUCGUGCCAUUUGUAUCGGAAAGGCGACUUUAGGAGAAAACCUGCUCUCUUACUGAUGAUUAUAAUAAUAAUAAAUAACAAUUUAUUAUUUAUAUGAUGCCCAUCUGACUGGCUUGCCCCAGCCUCUCUGGGCGGCUUCCAACCAAUUAAAACGUUAAGCACAGUAAAACAUCCCUAAACAGGGCUGCCUUCAGAUUUCUUCUAAAAGUCAGAUAGUUGUUUAUUUCCUUGACAUCUGACGGGAGGGCGUCCCACAGGGCGGGCGCCACUACCAAGAAGGCCCUCUGCCUGGUUCCCUGUAGCCUCACUUCUCGCAAUGAGGGAACCGCCAGAAGGCUCUCAGAGCUGGAUCUCAGUGUCCAGGUUGAACGAUGGGAGUGGAGACCCUCCUCCAGGUAUACAGGGCUGAAGACGUUUAGGGCUUUAAAGAUCAGCACUAACCAAUUUUAUUAUUAUUUUAGCUAUAUUUGAAUUCACCCUACCCCCAAGGAACUCAGGAUAAUGUGCGUGAAAUUGUCUCAUUUCAUCUUCACCACAACCCUGUGAGGUAUGUGAGGCCGAGGGUGAGUUCUGGCCUAAGGUAAUCCAGCAACAAUUGUAAUCUUGGGCUCUCCGAGUCCAGCUCAUGGUUCGCUGUAAAUAUUUAAUGGAACAGAUUCCCCAGUAAAACAAUAAAUGCGAAUCAAAUGGGCAGACAGCUAUCCUUCACCAUGCAAAGAUAUGAGAUUUGCACUCAGAGUUGUUUAAAUGAAUGAAUUGACACAGUUGUCCACUGGAACCCCCAAGUAUGCAUUAUGGGUAAGAUAAUGCCUAUGCCCUUUUCCUCCAUUGCUGCUCAUGAAGAAGGAUUAUCUUGACCACGUAGAUCAGUUUAUCAUCAGUUACCAAAUACAGUGCUUUCAUAUCGUGUUAAUGCAUCUAUCCUGCGAUGGAAAGGAGACUAUCAGUAGAUAAGCCGAUAAAAAGUCACCUUGGCCAAUUGUUUGAAUUGACCUUGGUGUUGAUGGGUUGCAAUUGCAUAAUGUCCAAAUAUUCCCAGUGGAGGCUCUACAGAUAAAUAAUGACAGACUUAUGGGGCUCAUGUGUAGGUAUUUAUUAUACAGAAUACAGGAAGGUCUUCUUGAGCCCUGAUCAAAAUUAGUGGCUUUAACUGUCUGGUGGUUAGACCUCUGCGUUGAGACCUGAGUAAAUUGCAGCUUCUCUGUGAUCACAUUGUUAGGCCAAUAAUAAUGCAAAAGCAAUUGGGAAUCAAAUGUGAUUCAUCUUCUAAUAAUACUGUGCUCCUCUGCAGUCAAUGGGAUAAGCUCCUUCCAUCUGGGUAGGCACUAAAAUGCACAGAAUUCCAUCUCUGUCAAGUAUCUCAUCACCUUUCUUGUAUAUAGUGGCGGGGGGUAGUAUUUACAUGUUAGUUUAUCUAUCCCACCAAAUGUAUCACCAUAUUUUGUUAUUAUUAACACCAAAAAGAGCCAGCCUUUCACAUGUUUUUCUGCUACCAAAAAAAGAAGAAAGAAGUUGGGUUCUAAGAAGGAAGCGCUGAAGAAAUACUCAGAAAAUAUCCAAUCAGGUCUAAGGUCUACCAUGCAGACAUUUCUCAUUGUCCUGUGUAGAACAGCCAACCUACAUCUCCUGGGCAGGGAUCCACACAAGCAAAUAAUGUUUUGGAGAAGGACAGAGAAGGUAUUCGGCAAGGUUCAAUGGAUGUACUCUUGGAUAUAUUCAACCUUGCAAAAGUGCAAUGUGCUUUUUAAAAAAAGCAAAAGGAUUUGUGCCUCUGGCAUGCAUGUCUCAUAGACAGGCCCAUUUCCUUGUUUAUAAUUAUGCUCCCACCCAGAGGGCACAAUCCAGUCUGUGCCCUUUUGAGCCCUAUUGAGUCAGUACAGAAAAAAUGUACAGUUCAAUUCUAUACUUGACUACUGAGAAGUAAGCUGUAAUAGGCGUAAGCCUCUCUUGCCCAUGGAAUUCAAGCAGACUGGGAAGUGCUUCACUUUAAGCCAAUUGGGCCCACAGUCCUUAAAAUGACUAUUAAGUUUGCAGCUGGGUGCUAUAUAAUGCCAUAAUGAGCAUAGGUGCUAACUUCCUGGGGCCCUGGGUGCCCGAGCACCCACAAAAUUCCCCAUGAAGGGGCUGGGCACCCACAAAUUUCAGUGCCAGGGCCAUGCACGCUGCAUGGCACCCAUGGCCCUGGGCACCCGUGGUCACAGGGCCAAGUUGACACUCCUGAUAACUAGAACUAUUGUUAUAUCAGAUUCUCUCUUCGUUUAUACACACAGUGUUAUUCUUCAUUGGAUCAUCUCUUCCCAGAGUGUCUCCUCACCCUUCAGAGCAGGUUUUGGGGUGGUACGAGACGGGUGUGAAGGGAUCUACCUAUGAGGGUUGCCAUAGGUAAAAUCCCAGUCAAAUAGAUUUUAGAUCCAAGCCUGUGUACCAUCUCACUCAAAUUGGUUCGUGGUUGUGAUUUCAUGAAAUAAUUCAGGUGUUGUAUGGGUGCUGAGAUUUCCCCCUCCCCACUCCAAAAAAAAUUAAUUUGGAUGUGUGUGGUUUCAAUCACUUAGGCACAGCAUCAUCUAUAAUUUAUUAAGCAUAUUAUAUGAUAUAAAUAAGGGACAUCCUCUCAUGAAAGACUCUCUCAACUGCAGAGGCAGAAAAUGAAUUUGUUAUGCAGUUCUGAGCGGUGGCAUCCUGAGGCUGGUUGGCUGGGGACUCUCCUUGUCCAUGAUGGGAUCCUGAGGGACUCAUCCCGCUUCCUUUUUUGCCUUGCUGUGCAUAUUCAUAAAAAAUUAGGGUAGGUUAUCUGAUUGAAUCGUAAACGGUGAUAAGUAGUGCUUCAACAUGCCCAUGUGCAAAAUAAGUGAUAAAUGUAUGCUAAGCAGACAACCUGCCCCAGAUUGUUCGCUCUCUUCCCCCCUCCCUCCCUCUCUCUGUGAUGGAUACAGAGAUAGAUAUAAACACAUAAUGGCCUGGAGAUAUUCGGCAGAUCAAUGAACUCUUGCAGCUCUGUGGAAUUCUAUUACUAUCCAAAAUCUACAUGCAAAUAAAUGCAAUGAGUGAAAAGGUCCCUGAUAUUUAGCGAGACGUGUGCCAUCGUUUUUGUGCAAAUCGGCAGGUAGCGGAGCACAUUCAAUAACUUGUUCUUGGAGACACGGACAGAGCCUAAGUGCAAUGAAAGAUAGCCACAAGUGAGAGACUGGCAAUUCCCAAAUUGUAGCACUCAGGGUGCCAUGAGAAAAUGUUAAACUAAAUAACCCAAGGCCUUUCACAGAGAAGGGGGCCCCACUGCAUUUCUGCGAGAUUUAAUGCUUUGGUUUUGCCGCCUUCCAGUUGCUCUCUGCUGGAGAACAAGCAGUUCUGACCCUCACAACCCCCAAAGUUUACCAUUAGAAGUGUAAACAAGAGCAGUGCCUCCAUUUUUAAUAUGGGGGAGGGAGUGUGUUGUCAGAUAUUUGUGUUGUCAGAUAUUGUGCUUGGUUGGCGAGAUUGAUUGACAGACGUCUAUAUUCCGACUUGAGAAAGGGUGGUAAGUUGGUAGUAAAAAUUAAAGGCUAACUCAAUAUUUAAUCUAGGGUUGCUUACCAUUUAGUUUCAAAGCACUCCUACCAUCAACUUACCUACCGCUCCUCUUCAACAGCAGCCAACUUCAUUAAAGAACAAAAGUAAAGUAAUAAGUCAUUUCACACCCUGUCUGACCAUUCUCCGGUAAUAGCAAGAUUUCAUGGAAGGGUACAACAUUACGCCCAUCUGCAAUCACAGUCUCUUUGCAAAAAUCUUAAUUCACACUUCACAUGCCGCUAACCUUGUUACCAUCCCUUCGUAAAUCCAUCAGUGUUGCAGCUGCGCGUCUUCACAGCCCAACAUCUUAAAAUUCAUCACUUUGGCACCUUAGCAUCACUACAGGUCAGACUAAGGAAGCCAACCACGAAUAAUUAAGGGUGCCCAGAUGUUUAGGUUUACUCCUUUCAAACAUUUCUUUGAUUCGAUGGGGGUGGGUGUCCCUUUCCCCUUCCUCACUUCACAUUGGAAAGAUAUAUGCAAUUAGAUUAAGAGGGGGGAGGCCAAAACCAAGUUUCAAACUCUUCCCCCCCACCACCACCACCCUCCAAAUCGUCGUCUUCUCUUUUUCUCCCCCUUACAAGUAUAGCUCUUUGUAGCUGGAAUCUGAACAAGAAGCGCGAUAAUGAGUAGGUUGAGGGAAGGAAAGGUGUUAUCUCAUUAAGGUAAUUACCAAGACAUCCCUACCAUUAUAUCGGUUUGAAAAUGUGGCAAUUAAAGAGCCCUACAUGGGUUCCUGGAGACAAGGGAACAAGACAAUUCUCUUGGAACUCCUGUGUUGCGGUUAAUGUGUGUCAUGUAAAUGAAAAGGCAGGAGAUUGCUUGCAAAAUGACUCUCUCUCCCUCUCUCUCUCCCUCUCUCUCCAACUCUUCAUAUACAUACACAUAUCAGAAUUUCAGCCCUCCUUUCAUUCAUGCCAUAUACCUAAAUAACAGGUGUCAUCCAUCUGCUUUCAUUGAAAGGCUCCCAAACACUCAGGCUGUGGCCACAGAAGGUCGUUUGAAGGGUCCAGGACCACAGAUCAUUGUCAUCAAGUUUCAUGAACCAGACGUCGUUCCCAAAACUUAGAACUCAUAUCCAGUCUUCUUCUUCUCCGUCCUCAUCACGCAGCUUCUGCCUACCCAGGAAACAUCAGAACAGCCAAGCCAAUGGCAGCCCCAGGAGCCAUGACUUCCAGAUUUAUGGAAGAUCAUUGUGAUAAUAUCAGAUCAGUCCUGUCCUGACUCCGGGUUUCGGGGAAUCUGAAAAGGAGAUCCAGCCACUGCACUGGCUCCUAUGCAGCCACCUCUGCCACUGAACUGAACUGCAUGGUAACACCAAACAGAGCUGCCAAUCUGUGCUCACGUGCUGGCCAGCAACACUGCGUCAAUACAGGUAGGCCAAGUAGGCCUGAAGCCCCACUAUUCCAGAUGCCGGUGCCAGACCAAGAUUAUAUCCACAGCAAGCCCAUGGGAUUUGCUUAUGCUGAUCCAGAAGUGCCUGAGCAUAUGUCCCUCCAAACCAUCAAGGGUGCUACAAAGCAUUUUCUUUAGGAUACAGUAAAGAAAAUUCUCUGCUGAAUUCUCUGCUGGAGAUUCAAAUAAGCCCUGUGUGUGGAGGAGCGAGCAAGGCCAUAUGCAAGUACUCCAUCCCCAAUGCCCCAUUCCAUCACUGGCUUCACCCCCCAGAUCUUUACACACACACACACCCCAAGUGGAGAAGCUAUGCACCUUUAGCUAAGCACCCAAGCUGAAAGGCAGCACUCCCAGCCCCAUGGAGGACAUCUCCAAGACAUCUUCCACAAGAUGUGCAUAGAUUCUUAAUUCAGACCUUCUGUCCAGUGGUCUGGAGGUGAAGCUGGCUGGAACAGGGUUUCUUGGAAUGAUUGGAGGAUAACUGCUGAAUAGGGCUAUAGUCAUUUUUGUAUGUCCUCAUAGACAAGAACAGGACCAGUUUGCCGCUUCAAAACCUCUUAGAAAUGAAAGCAUAUGAUUACAGAUGAAACUGUAGAAGAGUUGAGAGAAUUCUCAAGGGGGAAAAUCUUAGCUUCAAUUGCUUGCCCAAGAAAUUUAAAUCUGUAUUCUAACUUAUUUCUUUUUUAAUCUUUUGAACUAUGGCUAUUGUUGGAUUUAGAAGAAGG
rnacentral:lncRNA from 1 species